AAAUCUGCGAUUGGCUUAAGCACAAAUCCGAUCAUUAAGAUAAAAACAUUUUUGCUGGUUGUAUUUGAAUCUUAUGGCUGUGUGUGCAAAAUACUAAAUAGCUGGCUACUUACGUUAUUAACAAUUCUUGAUAUCUUCUUUUCACUAUUUACUUUUAUGUAAAACCCUUUUUUGACAAAGUACUUUUAUGUAGAACCCAUGCAUCACGUGCUUUGUGACUCGAUAUUGUUCCUCUUUCCUUCCAAUUUGUUCUAUCACUUUUUCAUGUUAAACUGUUGUAGUCAUGAAUGUGCUUAUUUUCUUUGAAAUUUUUUUUUACUGAAUAUUUUUAUUUUCUUUGUAAAAUAUAAUGCAGAACUCAUUGUUUUUUUUUUUUUUGCUAAAUAGAACUCAUUGUUGGCAGGAACAAUAGAGCCUAAAUGAGAUUUAUAAGCAAAAGAUAGGUGCAUCUGAUAAUUAUAUAACUAGCAUGUACUGUAAAAC
rnacentral:lncRNA from 1 species